GGCCCCGUCGUCCAGAGGCCUAGGACGCUGCGCUCUCAAGGCUGAGACGCCGGUUCGAAUCCGGUCGGGGCUG
rnacentral:tRNA from 1 species